rnacentral:rRNA from 1 species
UACGGGAGGCAGCAGUGGGGAAGUAUUGCACAAUGGGCGCAAGCCUGAUGCAGCCAUGCCGCGUGUAUGAAAAGGCCUUCGGGUUGUUAAAGUACUUUCAGUCGUGAGGAAGGUGUUAAGGUUAAUAACCUUAGCAAUUGACGUUAGCGACAGAAGAAGCACCGGCUAACUCCGUGCCAGCAGCCGCGGUAAUACGGAGGGUGCGAGCGUUAAUCGGAAUUACUGGGCGUAAAGGGCACGCAGGCGGUUUAAUUAAGUUUGGAUGUGAAAUCCCCCGGGCUUAACCUGGGAAUGGCAUUCAAGACUGGUUUAGCUAGAGUCUUGUAGAGGGGGUAGAAUUCCAUGUGUAGCGGUGAAAUGCGUAGAGAUGUGGAGGAAUACCGGUGGCGAAGGCGGGCCCCCUGGACAAAGACUGACGCUCAUGUGCGAAAGCGUGGGGAGCAAACAGGGAUUAGAU